rnacentral:snRNA from 1 species
AGCUUUGUGCAACCGCAGUAUCAUAGCCAGUGAGGUUUAUCUGAAGCGUGAUUAUUGCUCAUUGAAAACCUUUGU